rnacentral:lncRNA from 12 species
GUGCGCCUGUGCUUUUGCAGACUUCAGGGAAGAGCAAUCUACUUAAAAGACAAAUAAAAGGAGACACACAAAACAUAAGCCCUGUUUUUUUUUUUUUUUUUUUUAAUGAUCAAACCAGCAAAUUGCUCUGCGAGCUGGCUGGAGAGCUGGGCGCGCUGGCUGGUGGUCGGUUCUGCUCCCGCCCGUAGCCGGCAUCCGGGGGUCACUCCCGGCAGGUGCCCGAGCUCAGGGAGGGGCCCCGGGACGGCUGGGGGGCCGCCUCUCCUGUCCGGACGGUGCCUUGACUCCUCACAGCCUGGGGUGGGGGAGGGCGUCUCCUGAUGGACCGGGAGGGCUCGCUUCUAGAAGGCCCGGCGCUGGCUCCCAGCCUGGCGGAGGUCGGAGGUCAGAGCGGCCGCAGGGAGGGCCCAGCGAGGAGGCGCGGGAGCAAGCGGGUGGGAGAGGCUGGGCCAGGGCAAGGCCGGUGGGGGCUGCGAAGGAGGAGAAGGCUCGCGUCCCAGUCCCAGCCGCUCCUCUGUCUUAUCCGGUGACAUCUUAUCCCAAAGUCCAGGCUUUUGGGGACUCUGUUCCACGAAGUGCCUUUCGGAGGCAGACGGGGCUUUGCAGACUUUGAUGUGCGCAGGGACCGCUGCCGUCCUAUGUAAGUGGAGACUGGGACUCGGCGGUGGGGGCGUCCUUCAGGAAGCUCAAGGAUGAACAGUCCGUUCAACGGGGAGGCCAGGGGUGGGUGGGGUGGCUUCUUCCCCGGAGAGGGGGCUGGGGGCGGGACUGGGGCCGGAGGGCGUCCAGGGCUCAUCCCCUGGUCACUAGCCCCCACCUCUCGCGUCAAGGACUGUGAACCCCACGAGCCAAAGCAAACCAGCCAUCAGGCCCCACGGCGACCGGGACCGGGGCAUAGCAGGAAACAGACCCAUCCACUCUCUCAAGGGAUAGAGUCUACGGCUCAGACUGCCCUUCGUGGAGGGAGCAGAAAGCCGGGGCCGAUGCAAACCCAUUUUACAGACCAGUAGUGGAAAUCUCAGCAAAACGAAAACAAAAAGCCUCCCAUUCUGGGGUGCCUGUUACACACGAGAUGGUGCUCAAGGCGUCUAGAACCCGUGUUCCGGGCCCAGGGGUUUCCAACGGCCUUGCAAAGUAGGCAGCACCUCCACUGAAUGGACCAGGCGCAGAAGCUCAAGCACCUUGCCCCGUCGCACAGUGAGUACACGGAGUCAGGAUUUGAACUCAGGUCUGACUGACUCCGAAGCCCCUACUCUUCCUAGGACGCCCCCUUGCCGUCCUCUCCAACUCGACUCCCCCCAUCCUGAGUCUGGGAUCUGCGGCUGAAGUGCACGGUCUUCCUGGCUCCUCUCAGACCCGGGAAUGUCCUGCUGAGUCUUCUACUCUGGGGUGAAGACCAGCUGCAUCAUUCCUUCCUCUCCCUUCUUUGUUCCUCCGCAGGGCUCAGAAAAAGGCAAAAAAUCUCCCUGGUUCCAGUGGGAGCAGUGGUGGUGUGUGGAGAUGAUGUUGAAGACGGUCAUGAUGUGGGAUCCCUGGGGGGCUCAGCGGUUGAGCGCCUGCCUUUGGCCCAGGGUGUGACCCCGGGGUCCUGGGAUCGAGUUCCGAUCGAGCUCCUACCGGGAGGCUGCUUCUCCCUCUGCCUGUCUCUGCC